GACGAACGCUGGCGGCGUGCUUAACACAUGCAAGUCGAACGGUGAAGGGGCCUGCUUUUGUGGGCCCUGGAUGAGUGGCGAACGGGUGAGUAACACGUGAGUAACCUGCCCCCUUCUUCUGGAUAACCGCAUGAAAGUGUGGCUAAUACGGGAUAUUCUGGGUCUGUCGCAUGAUGGGUCUGGGAAAGAUUGCGCCUUUGGGUGUUUUUGGUGGGGGAUGGGCUCGCGGCCUAUCGGCUUGUUGGUGGGGUGAUGGCCUACCAAGGAGGGGACGGGUAGCCGGUCUGAGGGUGUGGGCGGUCAGACGGGGACUGAGACACUGCCCAGACUCCUACGGGAGGCAGCAGUGGGGAAUAUUGCACAAUGGGCGCAAGCCUGAUGCAGCGACGCCGCGUGAGGGAUGGAGGCCUUCGGGUUGUAAACCUCUUUCGCCAGUGAAGCAGGCCUGCUCCGUGUGGGUGGGUUGACGGUAGCUGGAGAAGAAGCGCCGGCUAACUACGUG
rnacentral:rRNA from 1 species